rnacentral:rRNA from 1 species
UACGUAGGGACCGAGCGUUGUCCGGAAUCAUUGGGCGUAAAGAGCGUGUAGGCGGCUUGCUAAGUCCUGCGUGAAAUCUCGGGGCUCAACCCCGAGCGGUCGUGGGAAACUGGCAGGCUAGAGUGCGGCAGAGGCAAGUGGAAUUACUGGUGUAGCAGUGAAAUGCGUAGAUAUCAGUAGGAACACCAAUGGCGAAGGCAGCUUGCUGGGCCAUUUCUGACGCUAAGGCACGAAAGCGUGGGGAGCGAACAGG